rnacentral:lncRNA from 10 species
UCGCCUCCCUCCCUCCGGGGGAGGAAAUGUGGGGGCCCGGGCUGGGGACCGACUCGGCUGGGUCGCGCUGGCGGGGCCUCCCGGACCAGCGGCCCGCCCCGAGCGCUCUCAGCGGCCUCGCGCGGCUCAGGGCUCCACCACGUGGGCGGCUGUGGGGAGCGGCCGGGGCGCGUGCACGCUGCGGGGCUCCGAAGCUGGGGGGCGUGUCCGGGGCCCCGAGAAGGGGGUGGAGGCUGGGGCCGGGAAGCCUCCCUUGGCUGCGGUCCCGACCCGGGAACAGGCGGCAUGCACUCGGGAUCAGCGGCUACUGCGGAAACCCACCCGCACCUGUCUUGAGUCCUCCCGGGAGGAGAGGUUCCCCAAAGCGAGACUUCCCUAGGACUGCCAUCUAAUGAAUAAAUGCUGCGGAGACCAGGUCCUCAAAGAGGGAAACAGCCCAGCAAUGGCAGGAGAGAGGAAUUUGAAAUACGUGGACUUUUACAAACAGUAAUUGGACCAUGUGUCGCCCUUAAUGUGGUCCGAUUUCAUGACUCAGGCUAAUUGAUGUCAAUAAUAAAUUUUUUUAGGAUGGCUAAUAAAAGAGUUGUGAAUUGUCGAGAUAAGAAGUGGUUGUCUCAUAAACAAUCGGGUAGAAUGGUAAGAGGGGACCUGAUGUAAACGAAGGUAGUAGGUUUCUUUUAUUACUCUAAUUUUAAAAGAUUUCUGCAUUAGAACGUGUAUCCAUCGUUCGUAAAUAAUUUUUUAAAUUAAGAGCUGAAAACAAGUCAAAAGCUAUCAUAACGGAAACUUAGCCCUUUUUUUCUAAAGUUGUUUCCUAGAUCAUUUUUCUCCUUGGAAAUUUCUAGCUCAAUUCAGAGUAUAGAAGGAAAAUAAACCUUGUUUUACCUAAGAAAGUUAUUCAUAUAAUGGGAUGGUUUUGUUUAACUGAAAUUCAGCUUGAUUUUUAAACAAAGAGUUUCAGUUUUAGAUGUUCCUAGAUUUAACAGAGAAAGAAAUGUAUUAGAAUCUUAAACUUAAAAUGUAUUAUUUAAAAAGUAGACACCACACAUGAAGAAUUAAAGUCCAGUCUACUAAUUUUUAAAUAUUUCUUCAGGAAGUUCUCUGCAUGAAGUUGGUCUUGAUUCCUACAGAUUCACUCUGGAGUUAAAUGCAAAGAAAUACUGAUAUAUAAUUUCGUUGUACUUGAUUUCAGAAUUUUUAAUACAUACUUGUAAGACAAAAAUUUAGAGCUGAUUUUUAAAAGGCUAGUGCUAAUAUAAAAUCUUCAAAUACUACCCAAUGUAUUUUUAGUAUUAGUAAUAAAUAUGCCUAUUUGUCCCCAAGAACAUAAAGAGGUAUAUAGAAUUUUUAAAUACAUGCAGGUUUUUGUAGGGGUUGUAGGAUUUAUUUGUUUUUGUGUGUUUUUUUAAUAAAAUGAUUUUCAUUUGUGAAUUUUUUAAAUGUGUUUUCCUGAAGUAGUUGGAAAUCAAUCAUACUGUUAUUUUAAACAGUGAAGUGGGAAGUGUGUCAUUAUAUAGCUUAAUAUUUAGGAAAAAAAAAAAGAACAAAAAUUUAGGUUGUCUUUAGGCUCUAACUUGACCACAUGGACAAAGGAUGUGAUUCGUAUUUCUUCAGUGAUUAUAUUCUACAUACACAAGUCCAACUUAGUUUUUCAACCUUGAAAUAAAAUCAUGUAGACAAAAGUUAAUUGGAGUCUUUGCUUUACACCCACACUGUCAAUGCACCACACUUUUUAUUUUAUACCGUUUUACCCAGGUAUCUUAUAGAUUCUCCCUCUUUUGGAGCAGAAACUUAUUGCUUGUUUUCAUUUCUUAAAAAUGCCGUUUACUUGAUAACAGUUUCAUCUCAAAUUAUUCUGCUAAAUGUACCAGACUCCCCAAAAAAUGUAAUGUAUAUCAUAUACAUCAAGUGCAAAUAUGAGAAACAGCACAACUAACAACUGACAAGUAUCAAGUAAUACAAUAUAUUGCGAUAUAUUCACAGAAAGGAAUGUUAGCAGCAAAAGUAAAUAAACUACAGACCCACACAACAUGAGCAGAUCUUUGAAACACACUGAGUAAAAAUAUACAAGUAUCAAAAACGCACACAGCAUAACACCAUUUUGAUAAAGCUCUUAAAAGCAAGAAAAACUUCAAAAGUUAUAGAAAUCCCUUACUUCAAAUAAUAAAUAUUUUUGCUUUGUUUUGGUUUUGUUUUAGCAAAAGAAUUAAUGAAGGAUGUGAAUUCCUUUGGAUAGGAUAAGAAGCUCCUAGGCAUAUGGGUUUCCACUGUAAUUUGGAAAUGUGUUCACUCUUGGAUUGAGUGAUGGAUUUACAAAUUUCCAUUUUAUAAUUAUGCUUAAUAACUAACACAUGUUCCACAUAUUUUUGUAUGUAUAAAACAUUAAAGAAGACCAAUAAAAAUAUGGGAGAGAUCCAUGAAAGAGAUCAUUCUGGUUUUCUAGUGGGAGUCAUUCAGAUUUUGAACUGUUUGUAUAAACAACUCAGAAGCAUUAAAGAUCUACUAAAAUGACAGUUAAUCAAGGUCUGAUCCUUAAGAUAUUUCAGAAGAAUGUCCACACAUCUAAUAUCAAUGCAAUUUAAGACAAAAAUCAAAAGACAAAAAAUUUAGAAGACCUCACUUCAUAAGUAAUAAGGUUCAUUAAGAGUGCGUUAUGUAAACUGUUUGACAGUUUCUUAUAAGGUUAAACAUACAACUAACUUAGAUCCAGCAAGCCUACCCCUAGCUAUUUACCCAAAAGAAAUGAAAAUUCCACAAAAAUACCUCUAUGGGAAUGUCAGUAGGUGCUUUGUUCAUAAUAGCAAAAACUAAAACAAUCCAAAUGUAAAUCAAAAGGAGAAUGGAUAAACAAAUCAUGAUAUAUCCAUUCAAUGCAAUACUGCUUAGUAGU